UACGUAGGUGGCAAGCGUUAUCCGGAAUUAUUGGGCGUAAAGAGCGCGCAGGUGGUUGUUUAAGUCUGUUGUGAAAGCCCACGGCUUAACCGUGGAGGGUCAUUGGAAACUGGUGAACUUGAGUGCAGAAGAGGGAAGUGGAAUUCCAUGUGUAGCGGUGAAAUGCGUAGAGAUAUGGAGGAACACCAGUGGCGAAGGCGGCUUCCUGGUCUGUAACUGACACUGAGGCGCGAAAGCGUGGGGAGCAAACAGG
rnacentral:rRNA from 1 species